ACGGGAGCUUGCUCCCUUAGGUCAGCGGCGGACGGGUGAGUAACACGUGGGUAACCUGCCUGUAAGACUGGGAUAACUCCGGGAAACCGGGGCUAAUACCGGAUGCUUGAUUGAGCCGCAUGGUUCAAUUAUAAAAGGUGGCUUUCAGCUACCACUUACAGAUGGACCCGCGGCGCAUUAGCUAGUUGGUGAGGUAACGGCUCACCAAGGCGACGAUGCGUAGCCGACCUGAGAGGGUGAUCGGCCACACUGGGACUGAGACACGGCCCAGACUCCUACGGGAGGCAGCAGUAGGGAAUCUUCCGCAAUGGACGAAAGUCUGACGGAGCAACGCCGCGUGAGUGAUGAAGGUUUUCGGAUCGUAAAACUCUGUUGUUAGGGAAGAACAAGUACCGUUCGAAUAGGGCGGCACCUUGACGGUACCUAACCAGAAAGCCACGGCUAACUACGUGCCAGCAGCCGCGGUAAUACGUAGGUGGCAAGCGUUGUCCGGAAUUAUUGGGCGUAAAGCGCGCGCAGGCGGUUUCUUAAGUCUGAUGUGAAAGCCCCCGGCUCAACCGGGGAGGGUCAUUGGAAACUGGGGAACUUGAGUGCAGAAGAGGAGAGUGGAAUUCCACGUGUAGCGGUGAAAUGCGUAGAGAUGUGGAGGAACACCAGUGGCGAAGGCGACUCUCUGGUCUGUAAC
rnacentral:rRNA from 1 species